rnacentral:rRNA from 1 species
AAAGAGCUCGUAGGCGGUCUGUCACGUCGGCUGUGAAAACCUGGGGCUCAACCCCGGGCCUGCAGCCGAUACGGGCAGACUAGAAUUCGGUAGGGGAGACUGGAAUUCCUGGUGUAGCGGUGAAAUGCGCAGAUAUCAGGAGGAACACCGGUGGCGAAGGCGGGUCUCUGGGCCGAUAUUGACGCUGAGGAGCGAAAGCGUGGGGAGCAAACAGGAUUAGAUACCCCAGU